rnacentral:ncRNA from 2 species
CGAUUUCUAAUCCGCCCAGGUGUGCGUGACCGCAAGGUCCGCAUUAAACGGGAAGCCGGUGCGCUCGUUGAGCAAGGCCGGCGCUGCCCCCGCAACGGUAAUCGACCGUGAUCCGCCGGAUCACCGCCCCGCUCAACGGCCACUGUGCAUCGCAUGGGAAGGCGAGCCGGGUGCGUGUCGAAAGCCCGGAGACCGGCCUGGCGGAUUCGACUGGU